CAAGCAUAGGGGUAAUCCACACUCUAAUGAGGAAAAAACUAGCUCUGAUAUCUGAGGUGAGUGAAGUCUUGACAAACUGUUAUAGAUAUAGAAAUACAGGCUCGAGAUCUAACAAGAAGUUCAAGAAGAACUGGCAAGAACUAGAUUAAUCAGAUGAAUACAAGAACAACACUAGAGAAGUGAGCUAGAGCUCCAAGAG
rnacentral:lncRNA from 1 species